UCGAGCUCGAGGCGGAAGUCCCGGAAGGCGCACUUCACGGCGCCGUCGAGCGUCCGGCGGGUGCUGAUGAGCGCGCCGCUGUCGGCCGACCUCCGCAACAAGUACAACGUGCGGUCGGUCCCCGUGCGCAAGGAUGACGAGGUGCAGGUGGUGCGCGGCACCUUCAAGGGCCGCGAGGGCAAGGUCGUGCAGGUCUACCGCCGGAAGUGGGUCAUCCACGUCGAGCGCAUCACCCGCGAAAAGGUGAACGGCUCCACCGUCAACGUCGGCAUCAACCCGUCCAAGGUCGUGAUCGUUAAGCUCAAGCUCGACAAGGACCGCAAGGCCCUCCUCGAUCGCAAGGCCCGCGGCCGUGCCGCCGACAAGGCUAAGGGCAAGUUUUCUGCUGAGGAAGUCGCCGCCGCCGCUGCUGGUGCGCCAUCUCUUCAGGAGAUCGACUGAUCUAGACGAUCCGAUGCUUGUUCGACCCGAUCGGUCCGCCCUCACUCACUUACCUACUGGAUUUCUGCC
rnacentral:lncRNA from 1 species